UGCAAGUUGUUAAACUAGCUUUGACUGCAGCAACAUUAUAUGGCUGAUCCUCCUGAUAAUUUUAAAAGACCAUCAACUCAGGGACGGAAAUCAAAGAGAACAAGAAGUGUAUUUUCUAUGGGUGAUUGCAUUAGCAAAGGAGAACAAUCCAAAUCUAAAAAGCCUAGAUCGAG